rnacentral:rRNA from 1 species
ACGGCUCAGUAACACGUAGUCAACAUGCCCAGGGGACGUGGAUAACCUCGGGAAACUGAGGCUAAACCGCGAUAGGCCAAGAUUUCUGGAAUGGAUCAUGGCUUAAAUCUAUAUGGCCCCUGGAUUGGACUGCGGCCGAUCAGGCUGUUGGUGAGGUAAUGGCCCACCAAACCUGUAACCGGUACGGGCUCUGAGAGGAGGAGCCCGGAGAUGGGCACUUAGACAAGGGCCCAGGCCCUAUGGGGCGCAGCAGGCGCGAAACCUCUGCAAUAAGCGAAAGCUUGACAGGGUUACUCUGAGUGAUUUCCGCUAAGGAAGUCUUUUGGCACCUCUAAAAAUGGUGCAGAAUAAGGGGUGGGCAAGUCUGGUGUCAGCCGCCGCGGUAAUACCAGCACCCCGAGUGGUCGGGACGAUUAUUGGGCCUAAAGCAUCCGUAGCCGGUUCUGCAAGUCUUCCGUUAAAUCCAUCUGCUUAACAGAUGGGCUGCAGAGGAUACUAUAGAGCUAGGAGGCGGGAGAGGCAAGCGGUACUUAGUGGGUAGGGGUAAAAUCCGUUGAUCCACUGAAGACCACCAGUGGCGAAGGCGGCUUGCCAGAACGCACUCGACGGUGAGGGAUGAAAGCUGGGGGAGCAAACCGGAUUAGAUACCCGGGUAGUCCCAGCUGUAAACGAUGCAGACUCGGUGAUGAAUAGGCUUCGUGCCUAUUCAGUGCCGCAGGGAAGCCGUUAAGUCUGCCGCCUGGGGAGUACGGUCGCAAGACUGAAACUUAAAAGGAAUUGGCGGGGGAG